CAUACCGCGUGGGUGAAGAAGGCCUUCGGGUUGUAAAGCCCUUUUGUUGGGAAAGAAAUCCUAUCGGUUAAUAACCGGUGGGGAUGACGGUACCCAAAGAAUAAGCACCGGCUAACUUCGUGCCAGCAGCCGCGGUAAUACGAAGGGUGCAAGCGUUACUCGGAAUUACUGGGCGUAAAGCGUGCGUAGGUGGUGGUUUAAGUCCGUUGUGAAAGCCCUGGGCUCAACCUGGGAAUUGCAGUGGAUACUGGAUCACUAGAGUGUGGUAGAGGGAUGCGGAAUUUCUGGUGUAGCAGUGAAAUGCGUAGAGAUCAGAAGGAACAUCCGUGGCGAAGGCGGCAUCCUGGGCCAACACUGACACUGAGGCACGAAAGCGUGGGGAGCAAACAGGAUUAGAUACCCUGGUAGUCCACGCCCUAAACGAUGCGAACUGGAUGUUGGGUGCAACUUGGCACCCAGUAUCGAAGCUAACGCG
rnacentral:rRNA from 1 species